AUUGAACGCUGGCGGCAGGCCUAACACAUGCAAGUCGAGCGGAGCGGCGGACGGGAGAGGAAUGCCUAGGAAUCUGCCUGGUCGUGGGGGAGAACGUCCGGACACGGGAGAUAAAACCGCAUACUAUCAGAUGAGCCUAGACCGGAUUAGCUAGCUGGUGGGGGAAAGGACUACCACGGCGACGAUCCGUAACUGGUCUGAGAGGAUGAUCAUCCACACUGGAAGUGAGACACGUUCCAGGCUCCUACGGAAGGCAACGAUGGGAAAUAUCGGACAAUGGGCGAAAGCCUGAUCCAGCCAAGCCGCGUGUGUGAAGAAGGGCUUCGGAUUGUAGAGCACUAUAAGUUGGGAAGCGUUACCAACAGAAUAAGCACCGGCUAACUUCGUGCCAGCAGCCGGGGUAAUUC
rnacentral:rRNA from 1 species